GAUUGUUGAUCCUGGCUCAGAUUGAACGCUGGCGGCAUGCUUUACACAUGCAAGUCGAACGGUAACAGGCCGCAAGGUGCUGACGAGUGGCGAACGGGUGAGUAAUGUAUCGGAACGUGCCCAGUCGUGGGGGAUAACGCAGCGAAAGCUGCGCUAAUACCGCAUACGAUCUAUGGAUGAAAGCGGGGGACCGUAAGGCCUCGCGCGAUUGGAGCGGCCGAUAUCAGAUUAGGUAGUUGGUGGGGUAAAGGCUCACCAAGCCAACGAUCUGCAGCUGGUCUGAGAGGACGGCCAGCCACACUGGGACUGAGACACGGCCCAGACUCCUACGGGAGGCAGCAGUGGGGAAUUUUGGACAAUGGGCGCAAGCCUGAUCCAGCAAUGCCGCGUGCAGGAAGAAGGCCUUCGGGUUGUAAACUGCUUUUGUACGGAACGAAACGGUCCUGGUUAAUACCUGGGGCUAAUGACGGUACCGUAAGAAUAAGCACCGGCUAACUACGUGCCAGCAGCCGCGGUAAUACGUAGGGUGCAAGCGUUAAUCGGAAUUACUGGGCGUAAAGCGUGCGCAGGCGGUUUUGUAAGACAGGCGUGAAAUCCCCGGGCUUAACCUGGGAAUGGCGCUUGUGACUGCAAAGCUGGAGUGCGGCAGAGGGGGAUGGAAUUCCGCGUGUAGCAGUGAAAUGCGUAGAUAUGCGGAGGAACACCGAUGACGAAGGCAAUCCCCUGGGCCUGCACUGACGCUCAUGCACGAAAGCGUGGGGAGCAAACAGGAUUAGGUACCCUGGUAGUCCACGCCCUAAACGAUGUCAGCUGGUUGUUGGGUCUCUUCUGACUCAGUAACGAAGCUAACGCGUGAAGUGACCGC
rnacentral:rRNA from 1 species